CUAGCCAGGUCAGCACUAAGACUGAGCGUGGAGCCUCCCAGCAACAGGGCUGGAAAGAUCCCCACCAGGUCAGCACUGCAGUGGACACCGGAAGAGCAGAGUGAACGCGUCCACGGGGGUGCCUCGGUCAUUUCUGUAAUCAUGGGGUUCCUGCUUUUCAUCUCUUUCCUCCAGCACUUUGUCAGCGAGCGUAAAUAUGACGAGGAGCUCGGGAAAGCUGCCCGGUUUUCCUGUGACAUCGAACAGCUGAAGGCCCAAAUCAUGCUCUGCGGAGAAAUUACACAUCCAAAGAACAACUAUUCCUCAAGAACUCCCUGCAGCUCCCUGCUGCCUCUGCUGAAUGCGCACGCAGCAACCUCUGGGAAACAGAGUAACUUUUCCCGAAAAUCAUCCACUCACAAUAAGCCCUCUGAAGGCAAAGCGGCAAACCCCAAAAUGGUGAGCAGUCUCCCCAGCACCGCCGACCCCUCUCACCAGACCAUGCCGGCCAACAAGCAGAACGGAUCUUCUAACCAAAGACGGAGAUUUAAUCCACAGUAUCAUAACAACAGGCUAAAUGGGCCUGCCAAGUCGCAGGGCAGUGGGAAUGAAGCCGAGCCACUGGGAAAGGGCAACAGCCGCCACGAACACAGAAGACAGCCGCACAACGGCUUCCGGCCCAAAAACAAAGGCGGUGCCAAAAAUCAAGAGGCUUCCUUGGGGAUGAAGACCCCCGAGGCCCCGGCCCAUUCUGAAAAGCCCCGGC
rnacentral:sRNA from 1 species